AGAUAGGAGGGCAAUCUGACCGCAACAGUUCUCCUCACAUUAGUCACCAGAGUGGAUUUGGCUGAUCUGAUUGACAAAGAGGGUGACUCUUCCCUCCCUCACAGUCAAUAUAUACCUCUCCCAAAGCUCUUCACUUUGUGAGCAGAUAGGAGUGGGCCAUUCUUUCAUCAAGGCUAGAGCAGC
rnacentral:snRNA from 1 species